CCUACGGAGGGCUGCAGUGGGGAAUAUUGGACAAUGGGGGCAACCCUGAUCCAGCCAUGCCGCGUGUGUGAAGAAGGCCCUCGGGUUGUAAAGCACUUUCAGUGAGGAAGAACGCCUGGUGGUUAAUACCCAUCAGGAAAGACAUCACUCACAGAAGAAGCACCGGCUAACUCCGUGCCAGCAGCCGCGGUAAUACGGAGGGUGCGAGCGUUAAUCGGAAUUACUGGGCGUAAAGCGCGCGUAGGUGGCUUGAUAAGCCGGUUGUGAAAGCCCCGGGCUCAACCUGGGAACGGCAUCCGGAACUGUCAAGCUAGAGUGCAGGAGAGGAAGGUAGAAUUCCCGGUGUAGCGGUGAAAUGCGUAGAGAUCGGGAGGAAUACCAGUGGCGAAGGCGGCCUUCUGGACUGACACUGACACUGAGGUGCGAAAGCGUGGGUAGCAAACAGGAUUAGAUACCCCUGUAGUC
rnacentral:rRNA from 1 species